rnacentral:rRNA from 1 species
AACGCUGGCGGCGUGCUUAACACAUGCAAGUCGUGCGAGAAAGUGGUCUUCGGACCGCGAGUAGAGCGGCGCACGGGUGAGUAACGCGUGGAUUAUCUACCUCACGGAUCGGGAUAACGAUGGGAAACUGUCGCUAAUACCGGAUACGAUCGCAAGAUGAAAGGUGGCCUCUUCAUGAAAGCUACCACCGUGAGAUGAGUCCGCGUCCCAUUAGCUUGUUGGCGGGGUAACGGCCCACCAAGGCGACGAUGGGUAGCCGGCCUGAGAGGGUGGCCGGCCACACUGGGACUGGAACACGGCCCAGACUCCUACGGGAGGCAGCAGUGGGGAAUAUUGCGCAAUGGGCGAAAGCCUGACGCAGCGACGCCGCGUGAGGGAAGAAGGCCUUCGGGUCGUAAACCUCUGUCAGAGGGGAAGAACCCCCAUGAGUCGAACAGGCUUGUGGGCUGACGGUACCCUCGGAGGAAGCACCGGCUAAUUCCGUGCCAGCAGCCGCGGUAAUACGGAAGGUGCAAGCGUUAAUCGGAAUCACUGGGCGUAAAGCGCACGUAGG